rnacentral:rRNA from 1 species
CCUACGGGUGGCAGCAGUGAGGAAUAGUGGUCAAUGGACGGAAGUCUGAACCAGCCAUGCCGCGUGCAGGAAGACGGCUCUAUGAGUUGUAAACUGCUUUUGUACAAGGGUAAACCUGAAUACGUGUAUGCAGCUGAAAGUACUGUACGAAUAAGGAUCGGCUAACUCCGUGCCAGCAGCCGCGGUAAUAUGGAGGAUCCAAGCGUUAUCCGGAUUUAUUGGGGUUAAAGGGUGCGUAGGCGGAUUGAUAAGUUAGAGGUGAAAUGUCCGAGCUUAACUCGGGAACUGCCUCUCAUACUGUUGCUCUAGUGCGUCGCUGCGGUAGGCGGCAUGUAUGGUGUAGCGGU